GAAGGAAAAACAUACAACCAGAGUUCAAAGGAUCAUAGUGGAAGAACGAGAAUGGAACAGAAGAAAAAAAUGGACCAAGGCGAGCAUAACUGUCUAAAUCCAAGGACAGGAUUUUAAAUACCAGCACAGAUCAACUUAAAACAGAUUCUCUCUUAAGCUUUACCUCAGGAUGAUGUCCAAUUUCAACGUAGGUGCAAAUUGGAUGAAAAGCCCCCGUUCCACAGGCGUACAAUCUUACAGGAAUGCUGUGAGGUGGUUGUCAUGCCAAACACCCUUGAUGAAAUCAGAACAGCACCCAGGACAAUGCCUGUUAUGUCAUUACUCAAUCUAUAUUUAUUUAAGAAACCAGAGUGUAUGAAAGGAAGGAAGGAAGGAAGAGGAAAGGAAAGGA